CUACGAAUUAUGGAGCUUUUUCUCAGGCCAACACACAUUUCUUUAUUGGUAAAUUAUCAGGCCAACCACUCACUGAAAUUAUAAUCUUGGGGCACUCAUAAACCUUAAACAUUCUCAUUUAAAUGAAAUGAUUAGUCAGUUAAUUGAUGAGCUCUUUGCUCAGAGCCAAACAGAUUUGCUAAGACAUCUCAUGUUGGUUAAACCUUUAUACAACUGUUGAAGUUCAGGCUCAGCGCUCAUAAUCAACCUCAUUUUCCAGUUACACAGCUCUGAUAUAACUGAAUGUAUACUACUGUACCUGUGCAGCACCAAACAGCAGACAUACUAAGUUAGCAACUUUAGCUACUUGAACAUAGUGAAGCACUUAGCAGCUAAAGAGGAAGAUAUUUCCAAAAUAAAGCCAAAAGAACAGUGAAUAUUGGAACUGCAUUCAUCAGGUGGCCAGCAUGAAUGAAUGCUAAGGUUAGAUGUGUCAGAUGGCAGCUGUUUGCUAACAUGUUCACUAUAUGGACGUAAAAAAUGAGGUUCAGUUUAACACAUUUGCACACUUCUUGUUGAAAAUGCCACUUUUUAUAUAGAAAAGUCAGAUGAAGGUUUGAUCUCUUUGUACUUUCAGGUACAGACGGACGGUGGAUCAGUCCGGGAUGGAAAAGGAAAAUCCUCGUCGUCAUCUUCCUCCUCCUGCUUUUCCAGAAAGGUCAAGGGUUGCCACUUAGCCCGGAGGAAGAAAAGCACAUGUGACACUGGAUCCUGGCAGGGCUAAUGGUCAUUACUUGGUAAGCAGUGUGUCAUAGUCUCAGUCGUGUAGAUAAUAGGGCUGUGGAGUGCCUGGGUUAAACCCACAGGAUCAAGGAGUGGUUGUGACUGUUGUCUUUGUUGAUCUGCAAUCAGUCUCAUUGUGACACAUAUAGCCAUAGACCUACAAAGAUAAAAAAAAAAACUGCCUUUUGCUGCAGGCUGCAGAGAAAACUGCAUGGCUGGUAAGUAAAGUGUUACAUGCUCAGAGAUUAGAGGAAAGUGAUUACCAAAACUGUAAAGCCUGAAGUUACUGCUUAAGCGUCAUUAUCAGAUGAGAUAUUUUAGGAAAUAUGUGAUUACCCAGAAACAUUGUGAGGCUGAAAAUAGGACAAUCCUGAUAAUGAAAUAGCUUCUGUAAAUCAUGACUGCAAUGCAACUUUCUCUGUCACUCAAAGUCAGUAUUGUUUUGUAUUCAGAAGGUAAACUUCCCAAACAGUGAAAUAGGGUGAUAAUAGUCAGGAAGGGAUUAGAGAUGGGAUGAGAAGGCCCCUUGUUAACACAAAUUAUAAAACACAUCCCCAUAAUUAAGGACUAAGGAUUUCAAUAUUUGGGGAAACAAGACUCUAACUCCCCACAAUCCCCGCUGUGAAGCCAUAGACAAAUCAACCACAAGAGCAGCGUUAGAAGGGAAUGCAGACAGAGAAGAUAAAGGCGUACUUUCACUUAGCAAGAAGGGCCCAUUAUAGGCAGUGGCAGGUUUAAAGGUUUGUCAUGUAGCAGCGAGGUCAAAGGUUUGAUCACUGUGACUGACAUGUCUUCUUGAGGUGUAUUUUAGCUAGACACUGAACCCAUACGUGCAUGGUGAUUAUGUUGCUGCAAUUACUACACAUAUUUCUGCUUGUAUGUUCUAGGACAACACACAAUAUCAUUUUAGUUGGGUGAAAACUUAUUUCCAAAAUCCAAUUCUUAAAAGAUAGGACAUUUUUUUGCUUUAAAGGUCCAGUGUGUAACAUUU
rnacentral:lncRNA from 15 species